CUCAAAGGAAUUGACGGGGACCCGCACAAGCGGUGGAUGAUGUGGUUUAAUUCGAUGCAACGCGAAAAACCUUACCUACCCUUGACAUGCCAGGAAUCCUGCAGAGAUGUGGGAGUGCUCGCAAGAGAGCCUGGACACAGGUGCUGCAUGGCUGUCGUCAGCUCGUGUCGUGAGAUGUUGGGUUAAGUCCCGCAACGAGCGCAACCCUUGCCAUUAGUUGCUACGAAAGGGCACUCUAAUGGGACUGCCGGUGACAAACCGGAGGAAGGUGGGGAUGACGUCAAGUCCUCAUGGCCCUUAUGGGUAGGGCUACACACGUCAUACAAUGGCCGGUACAGAGGGCUGCCAACCCGCGAGGGGGAGCCAAUCCCGUAAAACCGGUCGUAGUCCGGAUUGCAGUCUGCAACUCGACUGCAUGAAGUCGGAAUCGCUAGUAAUCGCGGAUCAGCAUGUCGCGGUGAAUACGUUCCCGGGUCUUGUACACACCGCCCGUCACACCAUGGGAGCGGG
rnacentral:rRNA from 1 species